AUCGUGGUGGAGAGGUUUGCGUGUCCCUAUGAACCUGAGAGCUAUGUUGUCUGGAGCAUAGUGCUCCUGGUAGGGUCUCCCUUGGCAAACAGGUCUCGGGGGAGGGAUCAGACUAAGAAUGGUUCAGCCACUGCCUUGUGGCCUGGGAGGGAGAAGGCUAAGGGAACCUUAGUGUCUUGGAGUGACUAAUGAGAACGGAGAACCACUGUGCCAACCACAAUCUCAUCAUUGGUGGAACCAUGCUACAAACCAUGCUACCAGGCCACUUGGACUUCUCCUGACAUGAAGACAGAAAGCCAGGUAAAUCAUUUCUGUAUCUCUUAUAACCGGUUCAACCCACUUUUGGUGCUUUUACAUCGCUCCACCCUGCUCUCUCAAAUGGAUGCCGAUAAUUGAACAAAUCACUGUGUCCUGCACAGUACCCGAUGUUUGCCGCCGAAUCUCUUCUUCUCCUCGGAUGUAGAACAGCUUGCAGGUGUCAUGGUCUUGCCAGUGCGCUGCCAUGAUCAAUAGAAAACUGUGCCAUAUUGCUACACAAGCUGUAUAUAAACACAGUUGCACAUGCAUUCCCCUACCGGUGCAAUUUCUCCAACGUUGAGGAGGGCUAUGCACUUUCAUUCACGAUCGUUAACACAUUUGAUUUGUUUGAUUGGCUAAAAUGGAUAAAAAUCUCUGCCCUUCAGAGACUGGUCUCGGGGAAAUCAACAGGACGACCGGUCUUAUGGGAGUAGACCAAGGACAAUAGAACACCACUGACAGCAAGUGCAUUUACACAGGCUCGAGAAGAGGAAACAGGAGUGGCUAUCAGCUAACAUCAUGAUCAGAAUAGAGGAAAGGGAAAAACUAAAGAAUGUAGUAAACAACAGUAAAACAAGAUCUGCUAAGAAAACAGCAGGGGAGGCAUACAGUAGAGAAGAUGAUAAAAAAAGAGAGAAAAGAGAAAUUUAGUGGCUGAGAUUACAAAAGAAGCAGAGGAAGUGGCAAGGCAAAACGACAUCAAAGCUUUCUACAACAACAUCUGACUCCUGACCGAAAAAUACCAGAAAGGGAACCACUCCGUUAAAGAUAGGGAAGAAAGGACACCGAAUGCGUUUACAUGCACGUGAAAAAAAACCAAAACAAUGCAUCUGGUUGUUGUUCAAAAUGUCGGUUUGCCGCAUGAACGAGUCUUGUUUAUUGUAUGACGUAAUAGGUCAACUGUAAAGGGGGCCUUAUUAACGUGGUAUUAACCCGUGGAAAACACACAUAAUGCCACUUACUGUGGAGGAGGAGGACAUGUUCCCUUUAGUUAUUCGAUUUUCUCCGCUGCAUGUAACUGGGACAAGGACUCGACAAGGACUCGAAUUUCGAGCAUAGCUCGAUUAAGCUGUGCAUGUAAACACACUGACUGAAAACGCAAGUAGAACAAAUGAAGAGGUGGACUGAGCACUUAUCGCAACUACUGAACCCACCGUCUUCAGCAAUGACGGUAAAUAUGCAAUCUGCGGAAGUCUCCCUGUCAAUUGACUGCAGGCAGCCAUCAAAAAGAGAGAUUAACAAGCCAUUAUCUGACAAUUACUGGGGAAUAAUGCUAUUCUCUGUACCAGACAACAUAAAUUGCAACCCAGCUAAUCAUCCUAAAACAAUCACAAGAGUGUAGGUCACUGCUAUAUACAGUACUUCUGGACUUUGGUGAAGCAUUCGAUAGUCUGAAUAGGGAAGUGCUCUAGCAACUCCUUAGACACUACGGCAUACCUAAGAAGUUCACCACCAUCAUCAAGAACAUCUGUUCUCGAAUGCAGUGUAGAAUCAUACAUGAAGGCCAGCUGACAAAGACAAAGUCAACAGGAGUUAGGCAAGGCUGCUCCUUCUAGCGGUAGACUGAACCAGGAGGUAAGUUACUAACAAUAGGCCAAACGGGAUCCAGUGGACUCUGCUUACACAACUGGAUGACUUUGACUUAGUACAUCUCUACGGAUCUCGGAUAUGCAAAACAACAAAGAAUCUCUUGAGGUUUUCAACAAGCACAACAUCAGAUGGCCUGACAAAAUAAAGAACAAAUACCUGUGAGAACGAACGAAACAACCCGCAGUAGAAGCGGAGAUAAAGAAACAAAAAUGGAGAUGGAUUGGGCAGACAUUGCGUAAACCGAAGAAUUCCAUCGAAUGCCAAGCCUUGCAGUGGACCUCGCAGGAUUAACGUGGUAGAGGCAAGACAAGAAAAACGUGGAGGAGGAGUGUCACGGCCGAGAUGGAAAGAGCAGGACACAGAUGGCAAGACCUGGAGAGGAUGGCACAGAACAAGACGAGGUGGAGAAAUAUCAUCAGUGACCUAUGAUCCUUCAAGGAGUAAAAGGUGACACCGGGGAAAGAAGUAAUAAUAUGUACGUGGGCUGGAGUGAGGAUGAAGUGGUUCAAAUGAAGGAAGAGUCAACAGGGCCCGUGAAACAGAUGUCCCACGUAGCCACUCGUGCCUACUGAUGUGCUUGGAUGCGAAAGAGCAAAAGUGAAGGUGGAGAAGAAACACGAGAGGUCUAAUCAGCAUUUUAUCAGCGCAACAGAGGAAGAAAAAGCAGAAGUAUCCUUUAAAUUCCUGUGGGUAAGUGUGCGUUUCCAUUAUUCUACCAAGUUACACAAACCCUUAAUUUCACCCAUAACCCAUUACAUAAUACCUGCUAUACUUGAUGAGGGAACCGAGAUUUAAACAUCAGCAGCCAUGUCACAUCUGCAAGCUACUUCACAGGCUCCCGGCCCCUCGAAAUAAGAUUGAUAAAGUGGAAGUGGAAUUCCUUUUUGAUGAGACAUCUAAACUCCAAACAGCGCUGUGACCACAAGGAACAUGGAUAAAAGCUGCAGAUCAUUUUUCUUCUGGACAUGUUGCAGCAGAGAGCGAAGACUUGCGUGGCUUCUCGCUAUUGUGGCCGUAACUCUCUCCAGACUGUUAAAAAGAAAAAAAAAGAGAAAAGCCGAAGGCCAGCCAAACUGUGGGUUCGCACACACACACACACACACACAUUCCUGUCUACCUCUCUCUCAGGUUAAUGAUGUGUGACCGCUCUGACAGGAGAGACCUGCUCAGAAAACCCACCGAAGAGCAGGUUACACCCUUCGUGUUUCCAGAGAAACCUCCCACGGGCAUGGAUCCAGGAUUACCUCGAAUCUGUCUUCAUGUCUGAUGGCGACAGCCCUGCGUAUGCGUUUGUGUUUGUGCGCCAGUCCUUGUGUGUUACGGGUCUGGGUUUUCAGUGGCUUAUGGAAAUGUUCUCCCACCUACGAUACCACAUCUGUUCCCCUGGUACCACUCCCAUCCUUCCCUCUGAUCUGUGUCCAGAUGACAUUCCUGCCUAGCGAGCCUCAUCACGGUCCCAUGAUGAAUCAGGCGGCCCAAUUUACAUAAUAAAGUGCUGGAGAUGGGGACGCAGAAAGGAAGGGAAACCCAAAUGAACUCUCGACGCCUGUCUGAACUCUGUGUGAUGCCUUUUGUUUUUUUCGGGGGGUGAAAAAGCCACAUUUGCUAUUCAUUUCAUUAAAGUGUGUGACAUUUGUUUUUA